GGAGCUUGAAGUUGGUAUGAAAUGGGCACAACAUUAAUAAAUUAAAUACACCACACCACCAUAUGUAAUUGAUUAAAGUAGAUUAUUACCUGUCAUUUUGCACUUUUGGAUAUAAGGUAAGUGCAAAUGCUUAUUGUCUAUCUUUAUUGAGAGGUGUCACAAAGAUAUCAACAAUUUUCAUCUAUAAAUUGGUGAUAUGACUAUUACAUUAGUU
rnacentral:lncRNA from 1 species